GCCCUGUCCCCUUCUCCGGAGGCAGACCCGUAUACCCGUAUAUCGAAGGAUGAAGCGUAAUUUAUUGUUUCAUUUAUGUGCUAAUAUUUUGUUGCAUUUGAGAUAUUCACGCAAUUCACGCAAAGGUUACAAAUUUUAUAGCUAGAAAUACAUAGAUAUACAUAUAAAAAAGAAUUUUAUCUUGUGGACCCCUAAAAGUGUACUGUCCUGUUCUACGAGAUUUUUCUGCGCAUGCGUUUCGCAGUCUCUGAUGUGUGCGCGACCUUGCAUAAUAAAUCUUAUGUGUCGUAUAGAGAAAUUUUUCUAUGUAUUUGUAAUUUGAAGCGUAGUGUUGCGACUUCGAUAAAUUCGUUACGAGAAACGGGCCCUAUGGAAAAUUACAGAGUCCGUUACGAGCAGCAAGGGACAGUUCACAAUCCCUUGAUCACUAAAGAUGAAUGAAUGAGUUACCCUUAUAACAAAAAUGGAUCGUUUUCGAAUGUUAAAUAAAAUGUAAAAUGUUAUUGUAUUUGUCGGUAAGUGGACUUUCUAAAAUUUUUAUAAUUUCCAAGUACACAUAUCUAAUCACGAUCAAUGAUUAUAUUUUUAAAAUGUUUGUAUUCAAAGACUGGACCAAUAAAUAGGAAUGAAUAGCA